rnacentral:rRNA from 1 species
AUACAACGAUUUAAUGUUUGUGUUGAGUAUAGUUUAUAUUUCUUGAAAAACUAAAUUACGUGGCGGCUGAAUAUCUAAAUAGAGGGGUAUGAUUUAUAAAUCGAAUACGCACGAAUAUCUUAUCUAAUCUUGAACUAGUAUUCAUUUUACACACCGCCGUCGGAAGUAUAAAUUAUUAGAUUUAUUCUUUUUCUUGUUAUAAGAUUUAAGUCAGGUCAACGUGUAGAUUAUGGUUAGGUCAAGUUGUAUCUCCUUAUUACUAUUAUGUCCUUAUAUAAUUUGAAACAAAAUAAGGUAAUUGAAUUUAUAAGUAAAAUAUUUUAUUAUAAAUAUUUGAAUAAUGCUAUGUUCGGAGC